rnacentral:rRNA from 1 species
UACGUAGGGUGCGAGCGUUAAUCGGAAUUACUGGGCGUAAAGCGUGCGCAGGCGGUUUGUUAAGACAGAUGUGAAAUCCCCGGGCUUAACCUGGGAACUGCAUUUGUGACUGGCAAGCUAGAGUAUGGCAGAGGGGGGUAGAAUUCCACGUGUAGCAGUGAAAUGCGUAGAGAUGUGGAGGAAUACCUAUGGCGAAGGCAGCCCCCUGGGCCAAUACUGACGCUCAUGCACGAAAGCGUGGGGAGCAAACAGG